rnacentral:rRNA from 1 species
GACACCUGACCAAUGCCGAAAGGUUAACCACGGUGGGUUCUUUAUAGCAAUAUAAAGAGCUGGACUGUGUAAGCCCCGGUGAAUGUCGGCGAUAACUAUAAGAUGAUUGUAGUUAAUAAAUUCGGCCAUAUGCUGGAAACCCCGAGUAUCUUCAAGUACUAGCCGCAAGGCAGUGAAAAUCUUGAAGUGCGGGCAAUCAGCAGGAAAGGCUCGCAAGCUUCAUAGAGGAAAUGUUCUUUAAGAUUAUCUCCCCUAUAGCUCAACAAUAGAGAGCAACAAGGGGAGUCCCAUCUGGCAACUCGUACACGUCAAGUGUAUGAGUUGCCUCCUCUGUGAAGCUUGUGAGAAUCCUCAGAGACUAAACGCCGAACUCAACUCUCUUAAUUGAGAACAACGAGAUGAUAUAGUCCGACCUUUGUAGCGAUACAAAGAAAUGCUUGCAGCUACCAAUAGCAAGCUAAAUAACAUAGGAGAAUCGUCCUAAGGUAGCGUAAUUCCUUGUCGGGUAAGUUCCGACGUGCACGAAUGGUGUAAUGACUGGAAAACUGUCUCGAGGACUCGCUCGGUGAAAAUGCACUUCCGGUGAAGAUGCCGGAUACCUGUAGUUAGACGAAAAGACCCCAGGAGCUUUACUACAGCUUCGUAUUGGCAUUGCGUGUUGCAUGCGUAGCAUAGAUGGGAGGAUUUGAAGCAUCGGUUUCGGCUGGUGUGGAUCCGUCAGUGAAAUACCAUUCUUGUUGUGUGCAAUGUCUAACCCCGUUGGGAUCCAACGGGGGACCGUGCGUGGCGGGUAGUUUUGGUGGGGCGCUAUCCUCCUAAAAAGUAACGGAGGAGUCUAUUAAGGUUCUCUAGGCGCGAAUGGAAACCGUGCCGAUAGUGUAAUGGCAUAAGAGAGCUUAACUGCGAGACGUACAUGUCGAGCAGAUGCGAAAGCAGAGCAUAGUGAACCGAUGGUACGCCUUAGACGCGGCCAGAGAUUAACGGAUAUAAGUUACCCUGGGGAUAACAGGCUAGUUCCGCCCAAGCGUCCAUAGCGACGGCGGAGUUCGGCACCUCGAUGUCGGCUCACCUUAGCGCGGGGGUGGAGAAGCUCCCAAGCGUUUGGCUGUUCGCCAAUUAAAAAGGUACGCGAGCUGGGUUCAGACCGUUCAGUGUCUCAUUCAAGAUGUCAUCUUGAAAUGGGGAAUUGAGCGGUCUGAAUCCACGAGGUUAGUAAGACAAAAAUCACGGCGGUUGCGCGUAGGAAUACGCGCGAAGAAAUCAACUGAUAUCGAUGAAAUCCGAUCGCGUUGUGUACGCGAGGACAACACCGAGGGAAUGGUUCGACUCCGCUCACCAUGAGCGAUAAGAAUUGACCCGUAGAGACUGAAUGUUGAUCGUCGAGAACCGACGAAGUUACAGUCCGAUCCUCCGAGUAAUCGGAGUAAACGUAGAUGCGUGAGACA